AGUGAACGCUGGCGGUAGGCCUAACACAUGCAAGUCGAACGGCAGCACAGUAAGAGCUUGCUCUUACGGGUGGCGAGUGGCGGACGGGUGAGGAAUACAUCGGAAUCUACUUUUUCGUGGGGGAUAACGUAGGGAAACUUACGCUAAUACCGCAUACGACCUACGGGUGAAAGCAGGGGAUCUUCUGACCUUGCGCGAUUGAAUGAGCCGAUGUCGGAUUAGCUAGUUGGCGGGGUAAAUGCCCACCAAGGCGACGAUCCGUAGCUGGUCUGAGAGGAUGAUCAGCCACACUGGAACUGAGACACGGUCCAGACUCCUACGGGAGGCAGCAGUGGGGAAUAUUGGACAAAGGGCGCAAGCCUGAUCCAGCCAUACCGCGUGGGUGAAGAAGGCCUUCGGGUUGUAAAGCCCUUUUGUUGGGAAAGAAAAGCAGCAGGUUAAUACCCCGCUGUUCUGACGGUACCCAAAGAAUAAGCACCGGCUAACUUCGUG
rnacentral:rRNA from 1 species